rnacentral:lncRNA from 1 species
UUUCUAUUCUAAACUUAACUAUUUAUUGAAUUUUCUUAAUACUUAAUCCCUCGAUAUCUCAUAAACUCUCUAAUCUGUGCAUCAAUUUUUUUCAAAAAAAAUAUUUGAUUUUAUUCAAAUCUGUAACCUAAUCAGGUACCUAAACGCUAAAUACUAACUUAUUCGAGGAUUCAAAGACUUAAAUUUUUUUUAAUUACUCUCACCCC